UACGUAGGGGGCAAGCGUUGUCCGGAAUCAUUGGGCGUAAAGAGCGUGUAGGCGGUUCGGUAAGUCGGCUGUGAAAGUCCAGGGCUCAACCCUGGGAUGCCGGUCGAUACUGCCGGACUAGAGUUCGGAAGAGGCAAGUGGAAUUCCCGGUGUAGCGGUGAAAUGCGCAGAUAUCGGGAGGAACACCUAUGGCGAAGGCAGCUCGCUGGGACGUUACUGACGCUGAGACGCGAAAGCGUGGGGAGCAAACAGG
rnacentral:rRNA from 1 species